GACGAACGCUGGCGGCGUGCUUAACACAUGCAAGUCGAACGGAAAGGCCCUGCUUUUGUGGGGUGCUCGAGUGGCGAGCGGGUGAGUAACACGUGAGUAACCUGCCCUUGACUUUGGGAUAACUUCAGGAAACUGGGGCUAAUACCGGAUAGGAGCUCCUGCUGCAUGGUGGGGGUUGGAAAGUUUCGGCGGUUGGGGAUGGACUCGCGGCUUAUCAGCUUGUUGGUGGGGUGGUGGCUUACCAAGGCUUUGACGGGUAGCCGGCCUGAGAGGGUGACCGGCCACAUUGGGACUGAGAUACGGCCCAGACUCCUACGGGAGGCAGCAGUGGGGAAUAUUGCACAAUGGGCGGAAGCCUGAUGCAGCAACGCCGCGUGCGGGAUGACGGCCUUCGGGUUGUAAACCGCUUUCGCCUGUGACGAAGCGUGAGUGACGGUAAUGGGUAAAGAAGCACCGGCUAACUACGUG
rnacentral:rRNA from 1 species